UACGAAGGGGGCUAGCGUUGCUCGGAUUUACUGGGCGUAAAGGGCGCGUAGGCGGACAUUUAAGUCAGGGGUGAAAUCCCAGAGCUCAACUCUGGAACUGCCUUUGAUACUGGGUGUCUUGAGUAUGAGAGAGGUAUGUGGAACUCCGAGUGUAGAGGUGAAAUUCGUAGAUAUUCGGAAGAACACCAGUGGCGAAGGCGACAUACUGGCUCAUUACUGACGCUGAGGCGCGAAAGCGUGGGGAGCAAAC
rnacentral:rRNA from 1 species